rnacentral:lncRNA from 1 species
AUCAAAGGUAAUUCAUCAAGGGCAGUUCUAACUAUUACUCCCUUAUAAGUGUGACUCUGAAUCAGUCCUACAUAUUCUUUUCAUUCACACUUCCAUACCCCACUUCUCUUCAACAUUAACUUGAACAUUGAAGUGUUAACCUUGUAAGUAUCAUUUUUCCGAUCACCAAACCUUGACCAACGCACCAAAAACCUUUUCACGGUGGUCAUUUUCUACCUCUCACACAUUCUCUAAUUCA